rnacentral:rRNA from 1 species
AGUGAACGCUGGCGGUAGGCCUAACACAUGCAAGUCGAACGGCAGCACAGUAAGAGCUUGCUCUUACGGGUGGCGAGUGGCGGACGGGUGAGGAAUACAUCGGAAUCUACUUUUUCGUGGGGGAUAACGGAGGGAAACUUACGCUAAUACCGCAUACGACCUACGGGUGAAAGCAGGAGAUCUUCGGACCUUGCGCGAUUGAAUGAGACGAUGUCGGAUUAGCUAGUUGGCGGGGUAACGGCCCACCAAGGCGACGAUCCGUAGCUGGUCUGAGAGGAUGAUCAGCCACACUGGAACUGAGACACGGUCCAGACUCCUACGGGAGGCAGCAGUGGGGAAUAUUGGACAAUGGGCGCAAGCCUGACCCAGCCAUGCCGCGUGGGUGAAGAAGGCCUUCGGGUUGUAAAGCCCUUUUGUUGGGAAAGAAAAGCAGCAGGUUAAUACCCCGCUGUUCUGACGGUACCCAAAGAAUAAGCACCGGCUAACUUCGUG